rnacentral:rRNA from 2 species
UACGGAGGGUGCAAGCGUUAUCCGGAUUUAUUGGGUUUAAAGGGUCCGUAGGCGGACUGAUCAGUCAGUGGUGAAAUCCUAUCGCUUAACGAUAGAACUGCCAUUGAUACUGUUAGUCUUGAAUUAGUUUGAAGUGGCUGGAAUGUGUAGUGUAGCGGUGAAAUGCUUAGAUAUUACGCAGAACACCAAUUGCGAAGGCAGGUCACUAAGUCUAUAUUGACGCUGAUGGACGAAAGCGUGGGGAGCGAACAGG